UAAUACGUAGGUGACAAGCGUUAUCCGGAUUUAUUGGGCGUAAAGCGCACGCAGGCGGCGGAUUAAGUCUGACGUGAAAUCUCUCGGCUUAACCGGGAGCGGUCGUUGGAAACUAAUCGGCUUGAGGCGAUGAGAGGGGUGUGGAAUUCCCGGUGUAGUGGUGGAAUGCGUAGAUAUCGGGAGGAACAUCAGUGGCGAAAGCGGCACCCUGGCAUUAGCCUGACGCUCAGGUGCGAAAGCGUGGGGAGCGAACGGGAUUAGAUACCCCGGUAGUCCACGCUGUAAACGAUGAAUACUAGGUGUGGGUAGUCUCAAAAUUAUCCGUGCCGAAGCCAACGCGAUAAGUAUUCCGCCUGGGGAGUACGGCCGCAAGGCUA
rnacentral:rRNA from 1 species